GGUCUUGUAUUCAUGUUAUGAUAUUAGAAUGCAAUUCUAAAGGUGUAUAAAAUAUUAAGACUU
rnacentral:tRNA from 1 species